GUCCCUGUAGUGCAAUGGAUAGAACGCUGGCCUCCUAAUCCAAAGGUCGUGGGUUCGAAUCCCACCUGGGAUG